GGGGAUAUUGCACAAUGGGGGGAACCCUGAUGCAGCGACGCCGCGUGGGUGAAGGAGCGUUUCGGCGCGUAAAGCCCUAUCGGCAGGGAAGAAGGAGGACGGUACCUGACUAAGAAGCCCCGGCUAACUACGUGCCAGCAGCCGCGGUAAUACGUAGGGGGCAAGCGUUAUCCGGAUUUACUGGGUGUAAAGGGAGCGUAGACGGCUGUGCAAGCCAGAUGUGAAAGCCCGGGGCUCAACCCCGGGACUGCAUUUGGAACUGUGUGGCUGGAGUGUCGGAGAGGCAGGCGGAAUUCCUAGUGUAGCGGUGAAAUGCGUAGAUAUUAGGAGGAACACCAGUGGCGAAGGCGGCUUGCUGGACGAUGACUGACGUUGAGGCUCGAAAGCGUGGGGAGCAAACAG
rnacentral:rRNA from 1 species